rnacentral:rRNA from 1 species
UACGGAGGGUGCAAGCGUUAUUCGGAAUUAUUAGGCGUAAAGGGCGUGUAGGUGGUUUGGUAAGUCAGAUGUGAAAUCUCGUGGCUCAACUGCGAGACUGCGUCUGAAACUGCCGGACUUGAGUAUGGAAGGGGGAAAUGGAAUUUCUGGUGUAGCGGUGAAAUGUGUAGAUACCAGAAGGAACACCGAUGGCGAAAGCAGUUUCCUGGUCUAAUACUGACACUAAGGCGCGAAAGCUAGGGGAG